UACGUAGGGUGCAAGCGUUACUCGGAAUUACUGGGCGUAAAGCGUGCGCAGGCGGUUUGGUAAGACAGAUGUGAAAUCCCCGGGCUUAACCUGGGAAUUGCAUUUGUGACUGCCCGGCUAGAGUGUGUCAGAGGGGGGUAGAAUUCCACGUGUAGCAGUGAAAUGCGUAGAUAUGUGGAGGAACACCGGUGGCGAAGGCGGCGUUCUGGACUGCAACUGACACUGAGGAACGAAAGCCAGGGGAGCAAACGGG
rnacentral:rRNA from 1 species